UCUUUGUUCGUACCGUGUCUUGUUAUUGUGGGUGAGUCAAGAUAACUACAAACCCAUAUAACGAGCCACAGCCACCAGCACAUUAUCAACAACCAAACCCCAAUCGCAUCAUCCUCCUCCAGAUUUAGCAGUGACACCACCACAAUCCCUGCUUCCUCCAAAAAGCGCAUAUUUGUUUACAAGCUUCUUCAGUCGCCUUGCAGUUCUCCGCAGAGUCGCACAUAGCCUCAAACAAUUAUUCUAUUUAUCCGUCCGUCCGUCCAUCCAUUGCAUAAUCAUCAUGGCCGACAAGCGCGUCGUGGGGCGAAAGACUCAUAAAAGCACCGUCAGCAGCACCAUCGACGGUAAGACCGUCCGAACGACGACCAUUACGACGGAGACCACCUACGCAGAUGGGACUACGUCCACGGACACGAAAGUUGAGAAAUCCGGAGAUGGCUAUUGUUGUGGGAAAAAGUGCUGCACGAUUAUGUAAUAAUUCUCAAUAUUCUUCGCCAACUACAACGGCGUGCAGAAAUCUGCUGACAUGCUAUAAUUACAUCAAACCACUUUACUAUUUACUCUGGCUGUUCUCUCUCUCAGUUUCCGCAUCAUUAUUGCCAUUUCAUUUGUUUAUACUUUUAACACUGUUUACAAAGAUUAAAGUGUCAUAAAGAUUACAAACUCGAAAUACAGAAGUAUAAUUGUCAAUUGUA